rnacentral:rRNA from 1 species
GUGGGGAAUAUUGGACAAUGGGGGGAACCCUGAUCCAGCCAUGCCGCGUGUGUGAAGAAGGCCUUUUGGUUGUAAAGCACUUUAAGCGAGGAGGAGGCUACCGAGAUUAAUACUCUUGGAUAGUGGACGUUACUCGCAGAAUAAGCACCGGCUAACUCUGUGCCAGCAGCCGCGGUAAUACAGAGGGUGCAAGCGUUAAUCGGAUUUACUGGGCGUAAAGCGCGCGUAGGUGGCCAAUUAAGUCAAAUGUGAAAUCCCCGAGCUUAACUUGGGAAUUGCAUUCGAUACUGGUUGGCUAGAGUAUGGGAGAGGAUGGUAGAAUUCCAGGUGUAGCGGUGAAAUGCGUAGAGAUCUGGAGGAAUACCGAUGGCGAAGGCAGCCAUCUGGCCUAAUACUGACACUGAGGUGCGAAAGCAUGGGGAGCAAACAGGAUUAGAAAUCCGGGUAGUCC